rnacentral:rRNA from 1 species
CCUACGGGUGGCAGCAGUGAGGAAUAUUGGUCAAUGGCCGGAAGGCUGAACCAGCCACGCCGCGUGAAGGACGAAGGUGCCAAGCAUUGUAAACUUCUUUUGUCAAGGGACAAAAUCAGGCUCGAGAGCCUGACCGAGGGUACUUUAAGAACAAGCAUCGGCUAACUCCGUUCCAGCCGCCGCGGUAAUACGUGGGAUGCGCGCGUUAUCCGGCUUUAUUGGGUUUAAAGGGUGCGUAGGCGGACUGUUAGGUCAGCGGUAAAAGCCCGGGGCUCAACCCCGGCGAGCCGUUGAUACUGGGUGGCUUGAGAUGUAGAGAGGGAUGCGGAAUGCGCAGUGUAGCGGUGAAAUGCGUAGAUAUUGCGCAGAACUCCGAUGGCGAAGGCAGCAUACCGGCGGCGAUCUGACGCUGAGGCACGAAAGCGUGGGUAUCGAACAGGAUUAGAUACCCGGGUAGUC